CAGAGGGAGGAAGACAAAAUGGGGGAAGGAAAGCGACGACAAGCCGAGACAAGGAUGCAGCUAGCAGGCAGAGGGAGAAGGAUGAUUCCGCAGGUGGAAAGAGAGGAGACAGGCUCAGAAAGGGUCUGUUCCAAUGAAGUGCAAAACCAUAUUACAUCAGCUUUCAAUCAAUGGCUCCCUAAAGACUAGAAGAGAUCCACUCAAAUGGAGCCAUGUUCAGGGCUGGAAAUAACAUUAUGCUAUUUCCCAGUCAUUCUGCUGUCCACAGAGGGUACGUUUCCA